AAUAUUUGACAAUGGGGGCAACCCUGAUCCAGCCAUCCCGCGUGUGUGAAGAAGGUCUUCGGUUGGUAAAGCACUUUAAGUUGGGAGGAAGGGCUUUAGGCUAAUACCUUGAAGUUUUGACGUUACCAACAGAAUAAGCACCGGCUAACUCUGUGCCUGCAGCCGCGGUAAGACAGAGGGUGCAAGCGUUAAUCGGAAUUACUGGGCGUAAAGCGUGCGUAGGUGGUUAUGUAAGUCGGGUGUGAAAGCCCCGGGCUUAACCUGGGAACUGCAUUCAUAACUGGAGAGCUAGAGUACGGUAGAGGGUGGCGGAAUUUCCUGUGUAGCAGUGAAAUGCGUAGAUAUAGGGAGGAACACCAGUGGCGAAGGCGACUACCUGGACUAAUACUGACACUGAGGUGCGAAAGCGUGGGGAGCAAAC
rnacentral:rRNA from 1 species